AACGAACGCUGGCGGCAGGCCUAACACAUGCAAGUCGAGCGCCCUUUCGGGGGAGCGGCGGACGGGUGAGUAACGCGUAGGAAUAUGCCCUUCUCUACGGAAUAGCCUCGGGAAACUGAGAGUAAUACCGUAUACGCCCUGUGGGGGAAAGAUUUAUCGGGGUAGGAUUAGCCCGCGUUGGAUUAGGUAGUUGGUGGGGUAAUGGCCUACCAAGCCGACGAUCCAUAGCUGGUGUGAGAGGAUGAUCAGCCACACUGGGACUGAGACACGGCCCAGACUCCUACGGGAGGGAGCAGUGGGGAAUCUUAGACCAUGGGGGCAACCCUGAUCGAGCCAUGCCGCGGGAGUGAUGAAGGCCUUAGGGUUGUAAAGCUCUUUCAGCUGGGAAGAUAAUGACGGUACCAGCAGAAGAAGCCCCGGCUAACUCCGUG
rnacentral:rRNA from 1 species